GUGGAAUACCAGCCUAUCCGUAACCAUUCUCUCCAUAAUUUUACAUAUAACAGGUGUAAGAGCAAUAGGCCUAUACGACAAGGGGCUCCCUGCCUUUUUGCCAGGUUUAAGAAUGGGCACAAUGAUUGCCCGUUUCUAAUCAGCAGGAAGACA